UAGUGAGUUUGAUCCUGGCUCAGAACGAACGCUGGCGGCAUGCCUAACACAUGCAAGUCGAACGAAGCCUUCGGGCUUAGUGGCGCACGGGUGCGUAACGCGUGGGAAUCUGCCCUUGGGUUCGGAAUAACAGUUAGAAAUGACUGCUAAUACCGGAUGAUGACUUCGGUCCAAAGAUUUAUCGCCCAAGGAUGAGCCCGCGUAGGAUUAGCUUGUUGGUGAGGUAAAGGCUCACCAAGGCGACGAUCCUUAGCUGGUCUGAGAGGAUGAUCAGCC
rnacentral:rRNA from 1 species